CCUACGGGUGGCAGCAGUGGGGAAUCUUGCGCAAUGGGGGAAACCCUGACGCAGCAACGCCGCGUGCGGGACGAAGGCCCUAGGGUCGUAAACCGCUUUCAGCAGGGAAGACCGCGACGGUACCUGCAGAAGAAGCUCCGGCUAACCACGUGCCAGCUGCGGCGGUAAUACGUAGGGGGCGGGCGUUAUCCGGAGUAAUUGGGCGUAAAGCGCGCGUAGGCGGGCGCCUAAGCGGACCCUCUAACCCCGGGGCUCAACCUCGGGCCGGGUUCCGGACUGGGCGGCUCGAGUGCGGUAGAGGAGAGCGGAAUGCCCGGUGUAGCGGUGGAAUGCGCAGAUAUCGGGAAGAACACCGAUGGCGAAGGCAGCUCUCUGGGGCGUCACUGACGCUGAGGCGCGAAAGCUGGGGGAGCGAACAGGAUUAGAUACCCUAGUAGUC
rnacentral:rRNA from 1 species